rnacentral:rRNA from 1 species
AGAGUUUGAUCCUGGCUCAGGAUGAACGCUGGCUGUGUGCCUAAUACAUGCAUGUUGAACGAAGCUAAAAGUGCUUGCACUUUAAGACUUAGUAGCGAAUGGGUGAGUAACACGUACUUAACCUACCCCCAAGUUUGGGAUAACGUUUGGAAACGAACGCUAUUACCGAAUACGUAUUUUUAUCGCAUGAUAGAAAUAUAAAAGGAGCUUCGGCUUCGCUAGGGGAUGGGAGUGCGCUACAUUAGUUAGUUGGUAGGGUAAUGGCCUACCAAGACUAUGAUGUAUAGCGGGGCCGAGAGGCUGAUCCGCCACACUGGGACUGAGAUACGGCCCAGACUCCUACGGGAGGCAGCAGUAGGGAAUUUUCCACAAUGAACGAAAGUUUGAUGGAGCGACACAGCGUGCAGGAUGAAGGUCUUCGGAUCGUAAACUGCUGUUAUAAGGGAAGAAAAACUUUAGUAGGUAAUGACUAGAACUUGACGGUACCUUAUCAGAAAGCGACGGCUAACUAUGUGCCAGCAGCCGCGGUAAU